rnacentral:rRNA from 1 species
GACGAACGCUGGCGGCGUGCUUAACACAUGCAAGUCGAACGGAAAGACCCUGCUUUUGUGGGGUGCUCGAGUGGCGAACGGGUGAGUAACACGUGAGUAACCUGCCCUUGACUUUGGGAUAACUUCAGGAAACUGGGGCUAAUACCGGAUAGGAGCUCCUGCUGCAUGGUGGGGGUUGGAAAGUUUCGGCGGUUGGGGAUGGACUCGCGGCUUAUCAGCUUGUUGGUGGGGUAGUGGCUUACCAAGGCUUUGACGGGUAGCCGGCCUGAGAGGGUGACCGGCCACAUUGGGACUGAGAUACGGCCCAGACUCCUACGGGAGGCAGCAGUGGGGAAUAUUGCACAAUGGGCGGAAGCCUGAUGCAGCAACGCCGCGUGCGGGAUGACGGCCUUCGGGUUGUAAACCGCUUUCGCCUGUGACGAAACGUGAGUGACGGUAAUGGGUAAAGAAGCACCGGCUAACUACGUG